rnacentral:rRNA from 1 species
UGGGGAAUAUUGGACAAUGGGCGGAAGCCUGAUCCAGCAACGCCGCGUGAGGGAUGACGGCCUUCGGGUUGUAAACCUCUUUCAGUACCGACGAAGCGGAAGUGACGGUAGGUACAGAAGAAGCACCGGCCAACUACGUGCCAGCAGCCGCGGUAAUACGUAGGGUGCGAGCGUUGUCCGGAAUUAUUGGGCGUAAAGGGCUCGUAGGCGGUUUGUCGCGUCGGGAGUGAAAAACNCUGGGCUUAACUCAGUGCUUGCUUCCGAUACGGGCAGACUAGAGGCAUGCAGGGGAGAACGGAAUUCCUGGUGUAGCAGUGAAAUGCGCAGAUAUCAGGAGGAACACCGGUGGCGAAGGCGGUUCUCUGGGCAUGUCCUGACGCUGAGGAGCGAAAGUGUGGGGGAGCGAACAGGAUUAGAUACCCUGGUAGGUCCA